GAGUGAAGAGGGAAAAGCCCAAAUUUGUAAUCUGGCUCUUUUAUAAGGGUCCGAGUUGUAAUUUUGAGAACUGUUUUCUGUGCUGGACCAUGUACAAGUCUGUUGGAAAACAGCAUCAUUGAGGGUGAUAAUCCCGUACAUGAUAUGGACUACCAGUGCAAUAUGAUACAGUCUCUAAGAGUCGAGUUGUUAGGGAAUGCAGCUCAAAGUGGGUGGUAAAUUCCAUCUAAGGCUAAAUAUAGGUGAGAGACCGAUAGCAAACAAGUACCGUGAGGGAAAGAUGAAAAGAACUUUGGAAAGAGAGUUAACAGUACGUGAAAUUGUUAAAAGGGAAACAUUUGAAGUUAGACUUGUUAUUAUUGGUUCAGCUUCUUUUUUUAAUUAGGAGUCUAUUCCAAUGGUUUGACAGACCAGCAUCAAUUUUUGAGUGUUAGAUAAGGGUCAUGAGAAUGUGGCAACCUUGGUUGUGUUAUAGCUCUUGGCUUAUAUAAUG
rnacentral:rRNA from 1 species